GAUGAACGCUGGCGGCGUGCCUAACACAUGCAAGUCGAACGUGAAGUCUAUUUCGAUAGGCUGAAAGUGGCGAACGGGUGAGUAACACGUUGGUGACCUGCCCCGAAGCGGGGGAUAACUCUGGGAAACCAGAGCUAACACCCCAGAUGUUUAAGGGUUUAGACGCCUUAAACUAAAACUCUGGUGCUUUGGGAGGGGCCUGCGGGCUAUCAGCUAGUUGGUGGGGUAAAAGCCUACCAAGGCGAAGACGGCUAGGGGGCGUGAGAGCGUGACCCCCCACAAGGGAACUGAGAAACGGUCCCUACUCCUACGGGAGGCAGCAGUGAGGAAUAUUGAGCAAUGGGCGCAAGCCUGACUCAGCAACGCCGCGUGGAUGAUGACGGCCUUCGGGUUGUAAAAUCCUUUUCUGGGGGAAGAUAAUGACGGUACCCCAGGAAUAAGUUCCGGCUAACUACGUGCCAGCAGCCGCGGUAAAACGUAGGGGACAAGCGUUAUCCGGAUUUACUGGGCGUAAAGCGCAUGUAGGUGGCUUGACAAGUUGGACGUGAAAGCUCCCGGCUUAACUGGGAGAGGUCGUUCAAAACUGGCAAGCUUGAGGAUGGAAGAGGAGAGCGGAAUUCCCGGUGUAGUGGUGGAAUGCGUAGAUAUCGGGAGGAACACCAGUGGCGAAAGCGGCUCUCUGGUUCAAACCUGACACUGAGAUGCGAAAGCGUGGGGAGCGAACGGGAUUAGAUACCCCGGUAGUCCACGCUGUAAACGAUGGAUACUAGGUGUAGGCGGUCAUUAACCCCGUCUGAGCCGAAGCCAACGCGUUAAGUAUCCCGCCUGGGGACUACGGCCGCAAGGCUA
rnacentral:rRNA from 1 species